GUCUGCAUGGCUCAGCUGGUUAGAGCGCCGGUCUCAUACAGUCGUAUGAACACUUUAGAUCAGUGUGUAAUCCGGAGAUCCUGAGUUCGAUCCUCAGUGCGGACA
rfam:Fistulina hepatica ATCC 64428 unplaced genomic scaffold FISHEscaffold_70, whole genome shotgun sequence.